rnacentral:rRNA from 1 species
AUUGAACGCUGGCGGCAUGCCUAACACAUGCAAGUCGAACGCGAAAGUCCUUCGGGCGAGUAGAGUGGCGGACGGGUGAGUAAUGCGUGGGAAUCUACCUCGUAGUGGGGGACAACCCGGGGAAACUCGGGCUAAUACCGCAUACGUUCUAUGGAAGAAAGGGGGCCUCUGCUUGCAAGCUCUCGCUAUGGGAUGAGCCCACGUCCGAUUAGCUAGUUGGUGGGGUAAGGGCCUACCAAGGCGACGAUCGGUAGCUGGUCUGAGAGGAUGACCAGCCACACUGGGACUGAGACACGGCCCAGACUCCUACGGGAGGCAGCAGUGGGGAAUAUUGGACAAUGGGCGCAAGCCUGAUCCAGCAAUGCCGCGUGUGUGAAGAAGGCCUGCGGGUUGUAAAGCAAUUUUCAGUGGGGAGGAAAAGCCUGGGGUGAAUAUCCCUGGGUCUUGACGUUACCUACAGAAGAAGCACCGGCUAACUCCGUGCCAGCAGCCGCGGU